CCCUUAGAUGUCCGGGGCUGCACGCGCGCUACACUGUAGAAAGCAGCGUGCUUUAAAACCUUUCCUGAAAAGGAUGGGUAACCCCAGCAAAAUUCUACGUGCUUGGGAUAGAGAUUUGCAAUUUUCUCUCUUGAACGAGGAAUUCCUAGUAAGCGCAAGUCAACAGCUUGCGUUGAUUACGUCCCUGCCCUUUGUACACACCGCCCGUCGCUACUACUGAUUGGAUGUUUAAGCGAGGUUCUCGAACUGCUAGCGACUUAGCUUCGGUGAGGUCGCAGUGUGGGAAGUGAACCGAGCUUUGGUGUCUAGAGGAAGUAAAAGUCGUAACA
rnacentral:rRNA from 1 species